AGAGUUUGAUCAUGGCUCAGGAUAAACGCUGGCGGCGUGCCUAACACAUGCAAGUCGUACGCGGCAUGAGGCAACUCAUGUCGAGUGGCGGACGGGUGAGGAACACGUGGGUCAUCUACCAAAAGGUGAGGAAUACCGGCGAGAAAUCGCCGACAAUACCGCAUAGGUUUGGAAACAAACAAAGUCGCAAGACGCCUUUU
rnacentral:rRNA from 1 species